rnacentral:RNase_P_RNA from 4 species
UGAGCAAACUGGACGGCCGCGGGGGAUGCGCGAAAGCAAACUUCCGAGGAAAGUCCGGGCUUCAUAGGGCAAGGAUAACGGCUAACAGCCGCCGGGGGCGACCCCAGGGAAAGUGCAACAGAAAACGACCGCCGCGGUUUUCCGCGGUAAGGAUGGAAAGGCGAGGCAAGAGCUCACCAGCGUCAGGGAGACCUGACGGCUAUGCAAACCCUAUCCGGAGCAACACCGCAGAGGGACACAAAGCGUCGGCCCGGCGCGUCCCGGGAAGGUGGCACUGAGCCGCGGCGGCAACGCCCGGCCAAGAUAGAUGACCGUCUAAACAGAACCCGGCUUAUAGGUUUGGUCACAAA